rnacentral:lncRNA from 1 species
GAUCUGCCAAUUUAUGAAUUUCAUUGUAUAAGAUGUGUAACUAGAUGCCAUUGAAAUUACUUUUAAACAGUAGAUGUUUUGUACAUGAACACUGCCUAUCUGCACCUUUUUUAAAAACAGGUCUGGGCUCAGGAGCCCAAAUACCAUUGUUAGCUGGAACAUGUUCUUCAGUUUGUCCUAUCCACCAGUCUCCCCUGAGGUCACCUGUUCAGCUUUGUUACUCCUGCUCCCUCACCAGCUUUCAUAGAAACCAUAUGCUAUGUAUGAAUCAGGGACAGCAAUCCCACACAUUGCGUCCUUUGAGUACCCAAAGUCCCACUUUUUACUUUGCCAUGCCUUCACAUCAGCAGUAAUAUUUAUCAGCAAAUGUGAGAUUUUCAAAGAUCCAAUUCUAUGUGCUCCUUUCCCAAAGAGCCUUAGGCAGGGCUAUAGCAUACAUAAAUAUUAAGUAAAGGGCGUAGUUUUUUAAAUGUCAUCCAUUGAUAGUUGACACAUGUCUGAGAUACUUUUUAUUUUGGAGGAGGUAUUAUUUAAUUGGGAAUUCCAACAGCUACAUGAUAGUGAAAUGAGAAGAUUUGCAUCCAUUUUAUUUUGUUUCUGAUGAUUUUUAUGACUAAGGAUAAGAUACUUCCUUGUUCCAAUGCAGAUGUUGCCCACUUCUGUAAAUGGAUGUGGGGUGUCACCUGCUACUUGCAUGUCUGCAUGUUCUGCUUGACACUAACAUCGUACUUGGCAGGUGGCAGAAAGUCAAUACUGAAGUUAAGGUCUUGUGUUCUAGCAGCAGAGCUGAAGAUCCUUUGUGUGCCACCUUCUGCAAUCCAUGCUGCUCUCUUCAUGUUCCUUAUUGACUUCCUGGUGAUGAGCAUCAUGGUCUCCUGGUCUUUGAGAAUGGCCAAGCAUUGCUCUGUGAAUGUGGAAGGGAGACACUGCCCUCAAACACUUCUGUGCAGCUGGGAAUGCAGGCUUCUGCUUCACCUUGAAGGAAGCAUUCAUGAAUCCUUUCCAGAAGACAUGAGAAGAGAGAGUGAGCCUCUGGUAACAUGCAGGUUCCUUGCAUUGCCCAUGGGCUAGAAGAGAGAAGAGUUGCUUCAUGAGAUUUGAUCCCCUUUUUCCUGAAGAGUUCCACACGGAGGUGAGUCCCCAGCAUGUUUAGACACCAUUUCAGACCCCUUUGUUGACGGAAAUGAAUCACACCCCCUGAUGAUGUGGAAGAGCUAAAGAUGUGUUUGCUAUGAAUUUUCUAUUUCAUUUCUCAGGGCCUGAGUCAAGCCAGCCAUUGUGCUGUCAGCGCAUGAGCUGCUGGUCAAAUGUGNNNNNNNNNNNNNNNNNNNNNNNNNNNNNNNNNNNNNNNNNNNNNNNNNNNNNNNNNNNNNNNNNNNNNNNNNNNNNNNNNNNNNNNNNNNNNNNNNNNNGGUCUUGCUUUAUGAAAACACCACCCUGAUUCAGUGAGCCAGAGGCAGCCUGCAGUCCCUGUUUUCCUGUAAAGGCAGAUUGCUGUGGAUGGCCUCUGGCCUCGUCAUGCAGCCCUGCUCAGAGUAGGGGAUUGAGGGUCCAGGCAGAUCCCUAGUUCCUUUUGACCUUUAUUGCCAUUGGGCUGCCCUAGGGUCCUUGGACUCUACCUGGUCUUCUGGCCUGGAUCAGGGGAUGUGAGGUUUGGAAUCCCCCCUCUGUGGCAGGAUCCCAGCCCCCCCCCAGCCACUUGAGGGCAGCACAUCCUUCCCUAGUUGUGUUGGAGAGGGAGAAUUCUCCCACCCAUCCUCAUCCUUGCUCAUUCUGCAUUUUGUAGCUUGAUACCUGAGGACUUUAUUCAUUGACUUAGUGGUUAGUCAUGAUGGUUGCUAAGACUAAGUGACUCUUUCAAGGUAGGGCUAGAGCAUUGAUCUUUGUAAGUGAUUGCAUGGGACUUUCUCAUGGAAAUUGUGACUGAUGUUGUUGUAUGAGGGGGGAGAAAUUGGCUUUUGGAAGUCGUCUCAUGAAUAGGAGACUCAGAAAUGGACAUCACAACUAAUGACAUCAUCGCCUUGAUGGAUCAAACAGGACAUGGAACCCUGGUAACCAGACACACACUUCACUAAGGAAGCCAUCCCAGCUUACUUUGUUUCAGACUCUGGAGUGAGAAGGAUGUUCUCCUGUGGCCCCCAGGAGUCUCCAGGGUAGAUUGUGCAGCCUUUCCUUUGUGGGGGAAGACUGGGAGAGGAUUCAUGUUAGAUGCUAGAGUCUCUGGCGAUGAUCCCAGAGAAACUCAAGAAUGAGUAGCACAGGGCAGGUAGGCCCAGCAGGCCCUUUUGUCUGAAUGGCCCAGGACUCAUUCUGUGUGUGUGUGUGUGUGUGUGUGUAAAAUUAUGUGAACUGUCCCAUUGUGCUUUUACUUCACAGUAUUGGAAUAAGUCCUUUUCCUGUUUGCUACUAUUUCCCAUUUGAACCCAUCAUUUUUGAUACCAGUGCAAAAAUGAGCUAGAUCAGAACAUGGAUGAGCCCUGCAGGGUAGAGACUCUUGAAGCUUAUAAGCAGAACCAGCUCAUGAAUCAGCUUGUGCACAUCGUUUGUGGCAGGAACUCAAAUUUUGGCAGCACCUUUGGGUCCAUCUACUCGGAUUUCAUCCCCACCCAGCAGGUCCUGGACCUGCUGUUCUCAAG